rnacentral:lncRNA from 1 species
GAGUAUCCACAAUUUGAUUUUUGAUUUAUGUUUGUCUUAUCGUGCGUGUUCAUGUGAAAUACUCCAUACUUAGAGGAAAUAAACGGAUAAUGAGUAUGGAGAAGGCAACAAUGACCUGAGUUUAAGUGGAAUCCAUGUUUGAUUCCACCCAAAAACUCGAGUUGUAGAGGUCGGAUUUCUGAAAAUCCCAAGGUUGAAGAUGAUGUUCAUACGUUACUUCGCGUGUGUUUUUUGUGUUCUAAAUUCAAAAAUUUGUGUUG